UAGGAAAUUCGAGUUCUAUCA
rnacentral:piRNA from 1 species